AACGGUCUUCAGGGCGGGGUGUAAGUCCCCACCGGCGGUAAUCACAGAGAAGUGCGAGCCCGCGAGCCGAAAGGCAGGAUUCCGGUGAGAUUCCGGAGCCGACGGUAUAGUCCGGAUGGUAGAAGAUGUUU
rfam:Eubacteriaceae bacterium CHKCI004 isolate CHKC4 genome assembly, contig: {contig21}